UUGCAAGUCUGUUUAUAGUCAUGACUGUUGUCAUAAUCAACCAGGUUGAAACUUCAAGGAAAAAAUUUCGAAUUCGUCGGCAAGAUAAUUAGUAGAUCUUUCUUUUCGAAUUAUAUGGUUUACAGUCAAAGCAGAAGUCUCAGCAUCAACAGAAGGAAAAGAUUUCUGAAUGGAAGUUAGGGCCUACCCCUGCCUUAGCUGUGCUGGCAAGCAAGUGUUGAUUCUCUUAUAAUGAAUAAUGAAGGAAUAGUAGGGCUGGAAGGCGCAAGGGGCAAGUAGGCUGAGUCACAAAGCAAAAGAGAAGUAGACAGGUGGAAGGUUGUUUACUUCCUUCAGAUAAGUAUGACAAGGAAUUUGAUACUUUCCCGCCUACCUUAUUUUCUCUACUAACUCAACUACCUGCCUACUUUUGGACACAAUCAAAUUCUUCAUGGGUGUUGGCCAUCUGAAAUUAUAAGUUCACUGAUUUAUUGAAUAAUAUAUGCCUUGGGGUUAGAAAUUUUAUCUGCGGGUCAUAUACUUUAUUGAGAAAUUUCAAAAGCAAUCAUCUUCAUAGUAACUAUUUUGUGAAGUAGAAGAUUUCCACAGUUUUCAUGUGGGCUGGAGCUCUGAAUAUUUGAAAGGUUAAAGAGGAAUGGUUAAUUAAUCUUAAUGAGGGGCUGCCAGCUGGGUAUGGUGGUAUUUGGGGGCCCGUAAUGCCACUAUCUGCUAUUUCAUGAGAAAUGUGCCAUCACUUGGGUUGUUAUCAUUGUGUGUAAGUUGGGUGGUGGCAUUUUAUACGGUAGCAUCUUCAUUGUGCAGGAGGAAGGAUGGAGUUGACAAAAUUUUAUUUGAUCUUGAAAGUUUUCAUGCAAGUGGUGGCUGGUGGAUAGGUGCAUCAUCUUGUUAUUGCAAGGGGUUGUGCUUAUGCAAUUUUAUUCGUACUUGUUUCUUUUGAUUUGGAAUCUCGAUUUAAAUUGCAGUUGUGGCUGCAUUCGCAGCUGCGGGAACUGGAGAGAGGUGUUGAUAUUAUUGUAGCAACUCCAGGAAGACUGGUAGAUUUAUUGGAGAGAGCUAGAGUUUCAUUACAGAUGGUCAAGUAUUUGGCCCUAGAUGAGGCAGAUAGGAUGUUGGAUAUGGGUUUUGAGCCACAAAUAAGAAAAAUUGUGGAGCAAAAUGAUAUGCCUCGACCAGGUGCAAGGCAAACGAUGUUGUUUAGUGCUACCUUUCCAAAAGUGAUACAGGUCUGUUUACCUUUUUAUUAAAGUUAUUUUUUGACUCAUUAAUUUUCUUUUCUAGGCAAUUUUAUUGUCGAAGAGGGGUGAAAAGGUUUCUUGCUGAUGCUAAUUCUUUUAAGUUUGUCAGAGGCAUCCAUUAUUUAUAUCUUGGCAUCAUUGCAUUAUGAUGGUUUAGUAGGUGAAAUAUCUAUGGUUUGCCAAAUUCAUGUAAAAGAAAGCCGCAGUUUCUGUCUUGUAUAUUGCUUUUGUUUUGUUAUUUAACUUGUGGGAAGGAACAAUUUGGUCUGGGAUGCAUAGAUCAUACAGAAGGAAUGAUACUUCAAAUCUCGUUUUUCU
rnacentral:misc_RNA from 1 species